rnacentral:rRNA from 1 species
CCUACGGGAGGCAGCAGUAGGGAAUAUUGCUCAAUGGGGGAAACCCUGAAGCAGCAACGCCGCGUGGGGGAUGAAGGUUUUCGGAUUUUAAACUCCUUUUUUUAGAGAAGUUAAUGACGGUAUCUAACGAAUAAUCACCGGCUAACUCCGUUCCAGCAGCCGCGGUAAUACGGAGGGUGUAAGCGUUACUCGGAAUCACUGGGCGUAAAGAGCGCGUAGGCGGGAUAGCAAGUCAGAUGUGAAAUCCUAUGGCUUAACCAUAGAACUGCAUUUGAAACUGUUAUUCUAGAGUAUGGGAGAGGUAGGUGGAAUUCGUGGUGUAGGGGUGAAAUGCGUAGAGAUCACGAGGAAUACUCAUUGCGAAGGCGACCUGCUAGAACAUAACUGACGCUGAUGCGCGAAAGCGUGGGGAGCAAACAGGAUUAGAUACCCCAGUAGUC